rnacentral:rRNA from 1 species
GAUGAACGCUGGAAACGUGCCUAAUACAUGCAAGUCGAGCGAACAGAUGAGGAGCUUGCUCCUCUGACGUUAGCGGCGGACGGGUGAGUAACACGUGGAUAACCUACCUAUAAGACUGGGAUAACUUCGGGAAGCCGGAGCUAAUACCGGAUAAUAUAUUGAACCGCAUGGUUCAAUAGUGAAAGACGGUUUUGCUGUCACUUAUAGAUGGAUCCGCGCCGCAUUAGCUAGUUGGUAAGGUAACGGCUUACCAAGGCAACGAUGCGUAGCCGACCUGAGAGGGUGAUCGGCCACACUGGAACUGAGACACGGUCCAGACUCCUACGGGAGGCAGCAGUAGGGAAUCUUCCGCAAUGGGCGAAAGCUUGACGGAGCAACGCCGCGUGAGUGAUGAAGGUCUUCGGAUCGUAAAACUCUGUUAUUAGGGAAGAACAAAUGUGUAAGUAACUAUGCACGUCUUGACGGUACCUAAUCAGAAAGCCACGGCUAACUACGUG